GACGAACGCUGGCGGCGUGCUUAACACAUGCAAGUCGAACGGUGAGGCUCUGCUUUUGUGGGUUGCUCGAGUGGCGAACGGAUGAGUUACACGUGAGUAAACUGCCCUUGACUUUUCGAUAACUUCAGGAAAUGGGGGCUAAGACCGGACAGGAGAUCCUGCUGCUUGGUGGGGGUUGGUAUGUUUCGGGGGUUGGGGAUGGAUGCGCGGCGUUUCAGCCUUCUGGUGGGGUUGUGGCUUUCCUAGGCUUUGACGGGUAGCCGGCCUGAGCGGGUGAACGGCCACAUCGGGACUGAGAUAGGGCCCAGACGCCUACGGGAGGGAGCAGUGGGGAAUAGUGCGCAGUGGCCAGGAGCCUGAUGCAGCGGCGCCGCGUGCGGGAUGACGGCCUUCGGGUUGUGAACCGCUUUCGCCUGUGACGAAGCGUGAGUGACGGUAAUGGGUUAAGAAGCACCGGCUAACUACGUG
rnacentral:rRNA from 1 species